rnacentral:rRNA from 1 species
UCGAGAAUUUUUCUCAAUGGGGGAAACCCUGAAGGAGCGACGCCGCGUGGGGGAUGAAUGGCUUCGGCCCGUAAACCCCUGUCAUUUGCGAACAAAUUGAUUCACCUAACACGUGAAGCAUUGAUUGUAGCGGAAGAGGAAGGGACGGCUAACUCUGUGCCAGCAGCCGCGGUAAUACAGAGGUCCCAAGCGUUGUUCGGAUUCACUGGGCGUAAAGGGUGCGUAGGCGGUAGGGUAAGUCUGACGUGAAAUCUCCGAGCCUAACUCGGAAACUGCGUUGGAUACUAUCCUGCUCGAGGAAUGGAGGGGAGACUGGAAUACUUGGUGUAGCAGUGAAAUGCGUAGAUAUCAAGUGGAACACCAGUGGCGAAGGCGAGUCUCUAGACAUUUCCUGACGCUG